rnacentral:misc_RNA from 1 species
AAAGAAUCCUGGAGGUUGCCCGAGGCCAAAUUUUGUUCUAUAAGAUUUGGUGACGCCAGUUUUAUCAGUUGAUAGAUCUUUCGCGGUGUUAAAGGACUUGUAGUUGCUGAUCUUUUUCUAUAUUAGGAGAUGGCAGAGGAGGGNNACCUCAGCCAAGGAUUGGCACGUCGGCUUUCCACAACGUUUUUGGGUAAAGCUAUUGAGGGCAUUUGGCACACAGGAGUAGUGGUAUAUGGUAAUGAAUACUAUUUUGGAGGAGGCAUACAGCAUGACUCUGCUGGAAGAACUCCAUAUGGAACGCCAAUUCAAGUGGUAGAUUUGGGCAUCACACAUGUACCACAAGAUGUAUUUGAAUUGUAUUUGCAGGAAAUUAGCCCCCGCUAUGCAGCUGAAACAUACAGUUUGCUUACUCACAACUGCAACAACUUCAGCAAUGAGGUUGCACAAUU